rnacentral:misc_RNA from 1 species
GAUGAAGAACGUAGUGAACUGCGAUAAGUAAUGUGAAUUGCAGAAUUCAGUGAAUCAUCGAGUCUUUGAACGCACAUUGCGCCCCCUGGCAUUCCGGGGGGCAUGCCUGUCCGAGCGUCAUUGCUGCCCUUCAAGCCCGGCUUGUGUGUUGGGUCGUCGUCCCCCCCGGGGGACGGGCCCGAAAGGCAGCGGCGGCACCGCGUCCGGUCCUCGAGCGUAUGGGGCUUUGUCACCCGCUCGAUUAGGGCCGGCCGGGCGCCAGCCGGCGUCUCCAACCUUCUAUUUUACCAGGUUGACCUCGGAUCAGGUAGGGAUACCCGCUGAACUUAAGCAUAUCAUUAAGCGGAGGA